rnacentral:rRNA from 1 species
GGAGUGGAGCCUGCGGCUUAAUUUGACUCAACACGGGGAACCUCACCCGGCCCGGACACCGCGAGGAUUGACAGAUUGAGAGCUCUUUCUCGAUUCGGUGGGUGGUGGUGCAUGGCCGUUCUUAGUUGGUGGAGCGAUUUGUCUGGUUAAUUCCGAUAACGAACGAGACUCUAGCCGGUUAAGUAGCCCGAGCGGUUUUUGAUCUUUGCCGUUCAUCCCCGUUCGACCUUUGCGUCGUCCCCUUCUUUCGGGCCGUCUCCGUCGUUUGUUUUUCCGUUUCCCGUCCGUUUCCUAGAUUGUCCGUCGUCCCGUCGUUCGUCGACGGGUGCCGACGGUUUUCGUGGUUUCGACGCGGGGGCGGAAGGCGGCGGCGGAACGGUGCGUUCAGGGGUAUACGCUCGGUCGUUUCGGGGUGAAAGCAUAACCGAAGGCCGCCGGCUUUUAAGGAAGCUUCUUAGAGGGACGAGCGGCGUUCAGCCGCCCGAGAUUGAGCGAUAACAGGUCUGUGAUGCCCUUAGAUGUCCGGGGCCGCACGCGCGCUACACUGAAGGGUUCAGCGUGCUAGUUUCUCCCGGGCCGUCAGGCUCGGGGAACCCGUUGAAACCCUUUCGUGCUAGGGACAGGGACUUGCAAUUGUGUCCCUCCAACGAGGAAUUCCCAGUAAGCGCGAGUCAUCAGCUCGCGUUGAUUACGUCCCUGCCCUUUGUACACACCGCCCGUCGCUACUACCGAUUGAACGAUUUAGUGAGGUCUUCGGACCGGUGGUCGUUCCGCGAUCGGGUCAGGACUGGGUCUCGCGCCCUUUCCUCCCGCGCGGGGUCGGCCGGCCGGGAAGAUGCCC